rnacentral:tRNA from 1 species
GGGGUUAUAGUUAAUAAUAACAUUUAAUUUGCACUUAAAAAAUACUGAAUCAGUUAACCUUA